AAGUUUAUGUGUCUAUUAUGUAUAAGGUUUGACUUUUUUUUUUGUCUUUGUAUAGAGUCUGACGAGCUGUCCACAAGGCUUCGGCUUUCAUGGAUAUGAAACCUUUGGUAACUCUAUGACCAGAAUUAAAUUUUUGUUUUAAUACUUACUGCUGUAUUCUUCAG